AUGGCGGCCGGUGAGCCGGCGCUCGUUGCCCUCACCGUAGGCGGCGAUGUGCUCCAUGUGCCGCGCCUCGAGCUUCUUGAUCGCCUUCUUGAUCACCUCGUACCCGCCCUCGCUCCUCAUCGACUUGGUGCUGCAUUCAGACAUCAGCAGGAUCAUGUCAUAACCCAUAACACAAGACUAGAGUAUAGCAGACGGCGAUGCAUCCCUUGGCUUGCUCUCUUUAUCUUACCUGUAGUUUGUGUGGGCACCAGCACCAUUCCAUUCUCCCUACAGUCACACACAUAUGCAAAGUUACAUAUGGCUGGCUGGCCAGUGGAACGGCAGAUCAAGGUGACACUUGUGGCACAAGAAGAAGAAGAAGAAAUGCUCACCGGGAUCGGCUUGGGGUCGAAGGAGACGACGACGCCAGCAAUCUCAGUGAUCCUCUAUUGGGUUACACAAAGGAAAAAUUUCUUAUCAGCACAAGUUGCAUUUUAUUCAUUCAUUCAACCAGAUGAGGCGGUUUCAUUUACCUCCAGGAUGUAG
rnacentral:rRNA from 1 species